AGCGAACGCUGGCGGCAGGCCUAACACAUGCAAGUCGAACGAAGUCUUCGGACUUAGUGGCGGACGGGUGAGUAACACGGGGGAACGUACCUUUUGGCUCGGAACAACUCAGGGAAACUUGAGCUAAUACCGGAUGAGCCCUUAGGGGGAAAGAUUUAUCGCCGAAAGAGCGGCCCGCGUUAGAUUAGCUAGUUGGUGAGGUAAAGGCUCACCAAGGCUACGAUCUAUAGCUGGUCUGAGAGGAUGAUCAGCCACACUGGGACUGAGACACGGCCCAGACUCCUACGGGAGGCAGCAGUGGGGAAUCUUGCGCAAUGGGCGAAAGCCUGGCGCAGCCAUGCCGCGUGAAUGAUGAAGGUCUUAGGAUUGUAAAAUUCUUUUACCAGGGACGAUAAUGACGGUACCUGGAGAAAAAGCCCCGGCUAACUUCGUGCCAGCCGCCGCAGUAACAC
rnacentral:rRNA from 1 species